ensembl:misc_RNA Y_RNA Y RNA
GGCCCUAUGGUUCUCUGGUAGUGAGUUAUCAAAACUUAUUAACAUUAGUAUAACUAAAGUUGGUAUACAACCCACCACUGCUAAAUUUGACUGGCUUAAA